rnacentral:rRNA from 1 species
GACGAACCGUGCGAACGUUAUUCGGAAUCACUGGGCUUAAAGCGCGUGUAGGCGGAUGGGAACGUCGGUAGUUGAAAGCCCCCGGCUCAACCGGGGAAGUGGUGCCGAAACGACCCGUCUGGAGGGACGUAGGGGGACCUGGAACUUCCGGUGGAGCGGUGAAAUGCGUUGAGAUCGGAAGGAACGCCCGUGGCGAAAGCGAGGUCCUGGACGUCUACUGACGCUGAGGCGCGAAAGCUAGGGGAGCAAACAGG